rnacentral:rRNA from 1 species
GACGAACGCUGGCGGCGUGCCUAAUACAUGCAAGUAGAACGCUGAAGGAGGAGCUUGCUCUUCUGGAUGAGUUGCGAACGGGUGAGUAACGCGUAUGUAACCUGCCUGGUAGCGGGGGAUAACUAUUGGAAACGCUAGCUAAUACCGCAUAACAGUAGAUGUUGCAUGACAUUUGCUUAAAAAGUGCAGUUGCACCACUACCAGAUGGACCUGCGUUGUAUUAGCUAGUUGGUGGGGUAACGGCUCACCAAGGCGACGAUACAUAGCCGACCGGAGAGGGGGUCCGGCACCACUGGACCUGGACAACGCUCAAGCCCCUUACGGAAGGAACCAGAGGGAAACCUCGGGCAUUGAGCGAAGUCCUAACGGGGCAACGCGCCUGGGUGAAGGAGGUUCUUGGAUCCGUAAGACUCUGUUUUUGGGAAGAACCAGUUGUAGAAGGGAAAGUGCACGUUGUGACGGUACCUAAUCAGAAAGCGACGGCUAACUACGUG